CAGCUACUCGACUCUGCCAUUGUAGCCUGAAAGCAUCAUAGCCAGUAUGCAAAUGAAAGAACAUGGCUGUAUUCCAAAAUUGACAAACAGCAUAAAAUUGUAUGAGGAAUUGCAGGAGACCCAGAAUUUCCCAAAUAACCUUGUAAAAGAAGAACAAAGUUGAAAGACUCACACUUCCAAGUUUUUUGUUUUUUGUUUUUUUUGGAGAUGGAGUUUGUUCUCAUUUUGUGGCCCGGGCUAGAAUGCAGUGGCAUGAUCACAGUUCACUGUAAUCUUGGCCUCCCAGGCUCAUGAUCCUCCCACCUCAGCCUCCUGAAUAGCUGGGACCACAGGUGUGUGCCACCACACCUGACUAAUUAAAAAAAAUUUUGGGGGGCUAGGCGUGGUGGCUCAUUCCUGUAAUCCCAGCUCUUUGGGAGGCUGAGGUGGGUGGAUCACUUGAGGUCAGGAGUUCGGGACCAGCCUUGCCAACAUGGCGAAACCUCAUCUCUACUAAAAAUACAAAAAUUAGCUGGGUGUGAUGGCACACGCCUGUAAUUCCAGCUACUUGGGAGGCUGAGGCAUGAGAAUCGCUUGAACCAGGGAGGCAGAGUUUGCAGUUAGCCGAGAUCGUGCCACUGCACUCCAUCCUGGGUGAUGGAGUGAGACUCUGUCUCAAAAAAAAAAAAACCACAAAAUUUGUAGAGACAGGAUCUCCCUUUGUUGCCCGGGUUGGUCUUGAACUCCUGGGCUCAAGUGAUCCUCCUGCUUUGGUUUCCCAAAGUGCUGGGAUUAUAGGUGUGAGCCACUGUACCUAGCCACACUUCCAAGCUUUAAAACUUAGUAUAAAUCUACAAUAACUAAGGUGGUGUAAUAUUGGCAUAGGAUAGAUAUCCAGAUCAACUGAAUAGAAUUUAGAGUCCAGAACAAACCCAUGUAUCUGUAGUCAACUGAUUUUUUUUCCUGCAAGCUCAUCCUUAAGGUCAACUGAUUUUUAAUAAGGAUGCCAAGGUCAUUGAAUGGGGAGAAUAAUCUUUUCAACGCAUGGUGGAGUGCUGGGACAACUGGAUAUCCCCAGGCAAAAGAAUGAAGUUGAAGGCGGGGUACAGCGGCUCAUGCUUGAAAUCCCAGUGCUUUGGGAGGCCGAGGUGAGAGGAUCACUUGAGUUCAGGGAGUUCAAGACCAGCCUGGGCAACAUAGUGAAUCCUCAAUCUCUACAAACAAUUUUUAAAAAAAGCCCUACUCGAGUGGCUGAGGUGGGGGGAUUGCUUGAACCCAAGAGGUUAAGGCUGCAGCUGCAUUACAGCCUGGGUGAGAGAGCAAAACUCUGUCCCAAGCAAACAAACCACAAAAACAAAAAAAUAAGAGUGAAGUUGGAUCCCUACCUCGCAUCACAUACAAAAA